GAUGAACGCCGGCGGCGUGCCUAAUACAUGCAAGUCGAGCGAACGGACGAGGAGCUUGCUCCUCUGACGUUAGCGGCGGACGGGUGAGUAACACGUGGAUAACCUACCUAUAAGACUGGGAUAACUUCGGGAAACCGGAGCUAAUACCGGAUAAUAUAUUGAACCGCAUGGUUCAAUAGUGAAAGACGGUUUUGCUGUCACUUAUAGAUGGAUCCGCGCCGCAUUAGCUAGUUGGUAAGGUAACGGCUUACCAAGGCAACGAUGCGUAGCCGACCUGAGAGGGUGAUCGGCCACACUGGAACUGAGACACGGUCCAGACUCCUACGGGAGGCAGCAGUAGGGAAUCUUCCGCAAUGGGCGAAAGCCUGACGGAGCAACGCCGCGUGAGUGAUGAAGGUCUUCGGAUCGUAAAACUCUGUUAUUAGGGAAGAACAAAUGUGUAAGUAACUAUGCACGUCUUGACGGUACCUAAUCAGAAAGCCACGGCUAACUACGUG
rnacentral:rRNA from 1 species